rnacentral:rRNA from 1 species
UACGAAGGGGGCUAGCGUUGUUCGGAAUUACUGGGCGUAAAGCGUGCGCAGGCGGCCAUCCAAGUCAGUGGUGAAAGCCCGGAGCUCAACUCCGGAAUUGCCAUUGAAACUGUUUGGCUUGAGGACGAGAGAGGUGAGUGGAAUUCCCAGUGUAGAGGUGAAAUUCGUAGAUAUUGGGAAGAACACCGAUGGCGAAGGCAGCCAUCUGGACCGACACUGACGCUGAGGCGCGAAAGCGUGGGGAGCAAACGGG